CUCUACAGUCAGAGGUUUUUGUACGGCGGCUCAAUGAGUUUGUAUCACUGUGGUGGACUUUUGGUGGAGGAACCAGACUGGAUGUUGGAACUGAUUGGUGUUUCCUAGGUGAUACCCGCCCCGCCCCGAAGGUGUUGGGUCCCUCCAGUGAGGAGCUGAAACAGGGGAAGGCCACGCUCAUGUGUGUGGCCAACAAGGGCUUCCCCUCAGACUGGAGUCUGUCCUGGAAGGUGGAUGGCAGUGGCAGCAUCAGCUGGGAGGAGAGCAGGAGCCCUGUGGUGCAGGAGAAUGACGGCCUCUACAGCUGGAGCAGCACCCUGAUGCUCCCUGCAGACCACUGGAUGAAGGUGGGAUCUGUGACCUGUGAGGCCACCCAGGGCUCCCAGACUCUGGUCUCGGAGAUACUGAGGAGAGACCAGUGUUACCAGUCCUGAUGUCAUUUAUGGAGUCUUCAAUGCUGUUUUUCUUGUGGUACUGAUCUCUGCUUGUGUGCCAUAACAUCCUUUGUUUCUGUUACUUUUACUUUUCAUAUUAAAAAAAAAAAACAAUGAAAAAU